UUCACAAUACAGCUCACUCAGUAUUAAAUGGAGCAGAUCUGUACAGUUGUCAGUAAAGUAUUAGCUCCUUAGCAUUUUGUGUGUGUAUUUGUUCUUUUUGUUAAUUUUGAUUUUAGAUUAGGAUUUGAAAACAGUAUAUCCCCUUUGUGCAAAAGAUAAGAAAGUUCAUCAGGCCUAAUCCUGUGAUUUCUUGAAGCCAAGAAUGAUAAAGUUGACUCUCUUUUGGGUCUCUCUGGUAAUUCUAAUAAGUGUAAGGUUUCCCUUGCCUUCCACUCCUGCCAAAUUAGGUCUGGGAGUUCGUGCUGAGGCUGAGCUGAUCAUGGGAGUCAAGUGUCGAGUGUCAUAGCCAUGAUUGAAUUCAGGAAAAAACAAAUUUAAGAGAUAUUUGCACUUCCCUUUCAGAAGUACGUAAGAGUUGGCAACUAGAUUAUUUGUUCUGUGAAAAUUAUUUGGACUCACUAGAGCACUUGAGCCAACAAAUUCAGGUAGUGCCAAGUGCUGCUUUCAACUGCACAUAAUUAUAUGUGACUUCUGUCAUACAUUUGUUAUAACAAAAAAAAAGUUUAAAAUCAUUAUAAAUAUUAAAAUUGCUGUGAAAUGAGUACAUCAUUUUAAAAGUAAUCUAAAGCUAUAAUAAAUAAUUGUGAUUUACUAUUUUGCUUUAUAUCUUGGGAAUUAGAAUGUAGUAUCUUUACAGUUUCUGGCAAAUUUUUUUGACAAAGGUAUUGCUUGUCCUACCACAGCAAAUCUAGUGGUAUUAUGGAUUAAACUGGAAAGGGGAGGAGUGAUUCUUGUGAACUGGAGCAAAUACAAUACAGUAUUUAUAUGCUUAGGCAGUGGAGAAAUAGGAAGAAUAAAGCUGUUGCCGUUCAGGUAUUGGUCAACAGAAUAAAACCCAUCUAUUUACAUGAGUGGAUGAUAUUACCUUCUGUGGAGGAACAGCAUGCCAUCUGUCCUCUAAGUGGUUAGCAAAAGCAUCUGACAUAAUGGCUUGAAGAAGUUCUUUGCACUGGGCUACAAAAUUUCUACCCCAGAAGUCCUGGACAGGAGAAAGGAGCUGGAGCCAUGCAGCAUGCAGAGUGUGCCUGGUGCAGUGCCCUACUUCCUGCCCAUGCGUGGCUGGUGCAUCCAGAGGCUGGUGUUUGCAUGGGCAGUCCCAUGCAGAGCCUGACUGUAUCUGGCCUUCCAUUGGUGAACAGGGCAAUUCCAGGGUAUGGGCUCAGGGCCUGACAACUAUGGGACUCCUCUAUUGACAGCUGUUGAACCUCCUCUGCAGAUAAAUUAACCAAAUGGAGUUUACAUGCAAUGGACAUUUUCCCAGACUUCUUGAUGGCAGUAAGGAAGAAAUAAUAUGAAAUAAGUAUUUCUUGUGCAGUUGAUACUCUGUAUUGAUUUUAUAUCUGGUUGGUACUGGAAUAAGAAGCUGAAAGGUAAUUUAGAAAUGUGCAAAUAUAUUUCUUUUAUCUGAACAUUCUCUUACUCCUUUCUGAAUAGUUAAAGCUAAGGCACCAAUGUUUGUACACAAAGCAAUAAACAUAAUAAUGGAUUUGUUUCAGUAACAUGUAAUUUCGAGGAAGUGAGUACUUUCUGUUGGGAAUAUUAUGGCUUUUAUUAAUUUGUGAGGGCAUGUAUGAGUUCCUCUCCAAGUCAUUGCUCACAUACACACUGUGCAUCUAGUAUUCCCCUGGAAGAUCCCAGCCUGGAAUGUGUGCUACCACUAAAUGUGGUUAGAAGUAACACAUGAGGAAUCCAGAGGCAGGCUUUUCUGAGACUUGCCUGUUUCAAGGUAGUUAUUUUUCAGUUGGUUCACAUUUUUCUUCUUUAGAAGAGGAAUUAUUCCUAAAGAAUAUUGAACCUUGAAGAUGGGCAUUUCCAGGUGGAACCGUGGAUGGACUACAUGGGGUAACUCUUGUGAGAGGCCAAUCCUGAAACAUUGAUUCCUAAUAGGGUCGAUUCAAAACCUAAUACCACCUUUUCAAAGUUUCAUCUUGGUCACUCAGAGGGCUCCUGGUCUAGUGAGAGAAAGCCUUGAAGAGAGAGAGGCACCAGAUUUAUUUUUUUUUUAAUUAUUAUUAUUUUUAAUUAAUUUGUGUCCUCCUAAUCUCUUCUGGAGAAACUUCUUUCUUAACUCUGGAAGAAACAAACUUCCUACCAGCCUAGGCGGAAUGCUCCACCAUAAUACUAUAAGCCUUGCUGUACACAUACAGUAAAGUUCAGGCUAAAUUUACA